UGAGGAAUAUUGGUCAAUGGGCGAGAGCCUGAACCAGCCAAGCCGCGUGGAGGAUGAAGGCACUUCGUGUCGUAAACUCCUUUUGUCGGGGAAUAAAAGACGCCACGUGUGGCGUAUUGCAUGUACCCGAAGAAAAAGCAUCGGCUAACUCCGUGCCAGCAGCCGCGGUAAUACGGAGGAUGCGAGCGUUAUCCGGAUUUAUUGGGUUUAAAGGGUGCGUAGGCUGCGGCUUAAGUCAGCGGUGAAAGCCCGGGGCUCAACCCCGGCGAGCCGUUGAAACUGGGUCGCUCGAGUUGGUGAAAGGUAUGCGGAAUGCGCAGUGUAGCGGUGAAAUGCUUAGAUAUUGCGCAGAACUCCGAUUGCGAAGGCAGCGUACCGGCACCACACUGACGCUGAGGCACGAAAGCGUGGGUAUCGAACAGG
rnacentral:rRNA from 1 species